rnacentral:lncRNA from 1 species
GGUGGUCGAAAAUGUAUUUAUUUUUCUUCAAAUGAUCUUUGUUUCAAGCAAUAAAUAAAAACAGACAUGUUGACUUUUCUAAAAAAAAAAACAAAACAACAACAAAAAAAUUCCCCUAAACUAUAUACAUCCUACAGAAAUACAAGCAUAUCAAAUGUAGAAAUGACAUCACUCUGAAAGAUGGGGCUAUUUACAGAAAUUACAAGUAUUGCAUUGCUGUCUUGAAGAAGCCUCUUUCUGGCACGACUCAUAAGCUCUAAGGGAGAGCAGGGUCUGUCUGCUGUGGUUUCUGCCACACAAGCCAGCUCUGUGUUAUCAAGCCCCGGCCUCCAACA